rnacentral:rRNA from 1 species
CCUACGGGAGGCAGCAGUGGGGAAUAUUGGACAAUGGGGGAAACCCUGAUCCAGCGACGCCGCGUGAGUGAAGAAGUAUUUCGGUACGUAAAGCUCUAUCAGCAGGAAAGAAAAUGACGGUACCUGACUAAGAAGCCCCGGCUAACUACGUGCCAGCAGCCGCGGUAAUACGUAGGGGGCAAGCGUGAUCCGGAUUUACCGGGGGUAGAGGGAGCGUAGACGGCCGCGCAAGCCUGGAGGGAAAUGCCGGGGCCCAACCCCGGAGCUGCGCUGGAAACGGUGACGCUGGAGUGCAGGAGAGGUAGGCGGAAUGCGUGGUGUAGCGGUGAAAGGCGGAGAUAUCAGGAGGAACACCGGGGGCGAAGGCGGCUUAGUGGACUGUAACUGACGUUGAGGCUCGAAGGGGUGGGGAGCAAACAGGAUUAGAUACCCUGGUAGUC